ACAGAUUUGAGAAAAAAGAUCUGAUCACCUGGAGUUAAAGUUGGUACAGAAACCUUUUCAAGUCCAAAAAUGUUGGAGGAAGAUAUGGAAGUGGCCAUCAAGAUGGUGGUUGUCGGGAAUGGUGCAGUUGGAAAAUCAAGUAUGAUUCAGCGAUACUGCAAAGGCAUUUUUACAAAAGAUUACAAGAAAACCAUUGGAGUUGAUUUUUUGGAGCGACAAAUCCAAGUUAAUGACGAAGAUGUCAGAUUAAUGUUAUGGGAUACAGCAGGUCAAGAGGAAUUUGAUGCAAUAACAAAGGCUUACUAUCGAGGAGCCCAGGCUUGUGUGCUUGUAUUUUCUACCACAGACAGGGAAUCUUUUGAAGCAAUUUCCAGUUGGAGAGAGAAAGUAGUAGCUGAAGUUGGAGAUAUACCAACUGUACUUGUCCAGAACAAGAUUGAUCUCUUGGAUGAUUCUUGUAUAAAGAACGAGGAAGCUGAAGCACUGGCGAAAAAGCUGAAGCUGAGAUUCUAUAGGACAUCAGUGAAGGAAGAUCUAAAUGUGAAUGAAGUUUUUAAAUAUUUGGCUGAGAAGUAUCUUCAAAAACUCAAACAAGUAGCUGAGCAUCCAGAAGUAAGGCAUUCCAGUAGUAACAAAAUUGGUGUCUUUAACACAUCUGGUGGAAGUCAGUCGGGUCAGAAUUCAAGUACCCUUAAUGGUGGAGAUGUCAUCAAUCUUAGGCCCAACAAACAGAGGACCAAGAAAAACAGAAAUCCUUUUAGCAGCUGUAGCAUACCCUAAAACAUUUUAGGCAGGAAAGAAAUUGUGCAAUUCAGUGAGAACUGUAUCCAGCGGUCAUGGUAAACCCCAAGUCUCUUCAGACUGCUGUGUGUGUACUUCGGCAGUGUUCCUUGUGCAAUACCUGUGUCAUGUGGGAUGUGGAGGUGUGUGCAGAU